rnacentral:tRNA from 3 species
AGGCCAGUAGCUCAACUGGUAGAGCGGCGGUCUCCAAAACCGCAGGUUGGGGGUUCGAGUCCCUCCUGGCCUGCCA